GAGUGGCGACGGGUGAGUAACACGUGGGUGAUCUGCCCUGCACUUCGGGAUAAGCCCGGGAAACUGGGUCUAAUACCGGAUAGUACUGCGCGGUGCAUGCCGUGUGGUGGAAAGAUUUAUCGGUGCAGGAUGGGCCCGCGGCCUAUCAGCUUGUUGGUGGGGUAAUGGCCUACCAAGGCGACGACGGGUAGCCGGCCUGAGAGGGCGACCGGCCACACUGGGACUGAGACACGGCCCAGACUCCUACGGGAGGCAGCAGUGGGGAAUAUUGCACAAUGGGCGCAAGCCUGAUGCAGCGACGCCGCGUGAGGGAUGACGGCCUUCGGGUUGUAAACCUCUUUCAGCAGGGACGAAGCGCAAGUGACGGUACCUGCAGAAGAAGCACCGGCCAACUACGUGCCAGCAGCCGCGGUAAUACGUAGGGUGCAAGCGUUGUCCGGAAUUACUGGGCGUAAAGAGCUCGUAGGCGGUUUGUCGCGUCGUCUGUGAAAACCAGCAGCUCAACUGUUGGCUUGCAGGCGAUACGGGCAGACUUGAGUAUUUCAGGGGAGACUGGAAUUCCUGGUGUAGCGGUGAAAUGCGCAGAUAUCAGGAGGAACACCGGUGGCGAAGGCGGGUCUCUGGGAAAUAACUGACGCUGAGGAGCGAAAGCGUGGGUAGCGAACAGGAUUAGAUACCCUGGUAGUCCACGCCGUAAACGGUGGGCGCUAGGUGUGGGUUUCCUUCCACGGGAUCCGUGCCGUAGCUAACGCAUUAAGCGCCCCGCCUGGGGAGUACGGCCGCAAGGCUAAACUCAAAGGAAUUGACGGGGGCCCGCACAGCGCGAGCAUGUGGAUUAUUCGAUGCAACGCGAGACCCUU
rnacentral:rRNA from 1 species